AAAUUCGCAACUCCACAUAAAACCGUUAGGGUUAGUGUUAGUGUUUAUAGAGUUACGGUUAUUAUUAAGAAAAAGGUCAUCAAGUUUAGAUUAGUGUCAGAUUAAGAUUAGAUUAAGAUUAUAUUAGGGUUAGGGGUUGGAUUUGUGGUUAGAUUAGAUUUAGGGCUCAACAUGUGAUGUGUCGCGUAUUUAUUGUAUUGAUAAUUUCGGAAGUAUUUUGUAUGUGUUGGUGUUAUGUACUCAGGUGAAUAUGAUGUUUGUGAUGUUACUCUGAGUGUGCAUCCACACCGGGCAAGCUGAAAAGUUAGCUUGACCACGGUGGGAAUCGAACCCGCGACCUUUGGGAUACUAGUCCAAUGCUCUGUCAACUGAGCUACGUGGUUGAUGAUAUUUCGAAAUUGAUGAUAUUUUAGCUUGCCCGGUGUGGAUGCACACUCAGAGUAACAUCACAAACAUAAUUUCGGAAGUGUUUAACAAUUUACUCAUAUGGUAAAUUCAAAGGUCGAGCUCAUGCAUGCUGGAGAUCGAGUCAAGACAACUAGCUUUUUCACGGUCAGUCUAUCAUAUAAUUUAUUUCGAAGUUAAAAAUACACUAAAGACGGUUUUCCACUAGGCGAAAUUUUUCGAUCGAACCGAAAUUUCUAUUGUUCAAAUUCAAAAGAUUUCUGUUUAGUUCCAUCACGGUUCCAUCUGAGUGCUUGUAAGACAAAAGAAAAUUUCGAUUCGGUCGAAAAAUUUCGCCUAGUGGAAAACCGCCUUAAAGGCUGGUUUACACUAUCAAAGUUUCUGUGAUCACAGUAGGAAUUUUGCAUAGGUAAAUUAUACAUUUUGAUUUUUGAAGCAUUUCAUGUAAGAAAUGUUUGAGGGAACUUCAAAUCUUACAAUUUACCUUUGCAAAAUUGCUAUUGUGAUCACAGAAAUAAUCUGAAGCUGCCCGUGCCAGUGUGGUUAGUGCCAAUAAUAUAAACAAGCUUUCGUUAAUUGGUAGGGAUGCAACUACCUGAACAAUAUAAGGAGAAUUUCGACGUUGGGCCUUCGACGCUCAUUUUCUCCACAAAUUUGCUGAACCCGCUAAAUAUCAGUCUUGGAGAAAACUGGCGUGGACAUACCCACCCAGUCCACGCCCUGGCUGCUGUUAAGACUGAUAGGUUUCGAAGUAGGUUCGAAUUAAAUAACGUUUAUUUUGGUAUAACCGGGAAACGGACGUGAAGAAAAUGGCGGAAUGAACGUCGCAGGACUUGGGAU